UGCUUGCCCCAGUGUAUUUAUAGACAGCAACCGUUUCUCCUCUCAGCUUUCACUCUGUGGCCUAAAUGAGCUUUUUUAGCAGAUGACUACCUCGGGAGCGGAGAUGUGCAGACACAUCUCAGCUGGCCUGGCAGUGGCUGGCGCCUGUGGCAGCCCCAUGAAGAUCCUCAAGGCAACCUGGGCAAUGUCCCUGCCAAUGUGUCCUAAAUGGCAGCACAUGAGCAUGAUGAUGCCCAAGAGAUUGAGUCCUUGUGACACUGUGCUGGAAUCAAGCUGCCUCUGAACUACAUCCAAAAGGAUGACGAAAAAUUGCUAACAACUGAGGAAGGAGCCAUGCCGAUGCUUCAGAACCACACACAAUCCAUUGGCAGAGAAAGGCUGUGAAAAGGACCCAGCUGAGAGAGAAGCAUGAGGGUUGGGGAAGAGAGAUUGGACCAGGAAAGGGGAGAAGAAGGAGAGGUAGCGAGAACAAGGAGGGCAUCAAGAAGGAUCUUGUCUCUCACACCGUCCUUCAUGCCACGAGAUCCAAGCGGAUCCUGUGUCCAGUCCUGGCCAUUGUCAUAUGCUGAGCUGCUCACAGCCAGAUCUACACCAUGCUGUGAUAUGCCGGGAUACCAACAUACCAGAAACAACGAAGGGAAGAUUCUACCUACACAGAUGUGAAGGUGACCAGCUGAUGAUUGAGUGUUGCAGAGAUCUUUGGAGAACUGUGUGCAUUCGACUUGGAGAUGGAGGACUAAAUUCAGACCAUUUGUGUUCUUGGCAUGAUGCUCAUCCUUGUCGGCUCUGUGUUUGCUUUAGAAGUCUGACUGGCUGACAUGCUCCGGCCGCUGGCUAAUGUGGAUUAAUUCUGACUCUCUUCUGGCUUCAAGGAUGCAGAUUGUGAAGGGGGUUUCAUCACAAGGGGAAUUAAAGAAGCUAGCAAAGUAUCUUAACCCGAAGCACGUCACCCAUUGCUUUCAAUCAGGAAGGAGGACAGAUGAGAUUAACCUCAAAAACCCUUCGGCUUCCUUGUGGAGACUGUAAACCACAGUGCCAAGUGAGAGAAGAAUGCAGGAAGAGGAUCAUUUUUAUGUGGACAUGUAAGGAACUGGACUUAAACCACCAAGCCCAUUUCCACAUUGGCCACCAAAAAGUCAUCAGAGGGUGUUGACUUUUGACCACUACUGUUUUUGUUAACAGGGAAAAUAAAACCAUAUGUUGCC